AGGUAUCUACUGAUAAUACAGUGUAAAACAACUUUGGGCCUGUCCUCCUAGCUGCUGAAACUGCAGAACAGCGUGCUUGGCGUGCUGAGGUUCCAGGCUCUGUGCAUCCCCUGGGAUGGAUCUCGUUGCUGCCCUUUCUGCUGGGGACUGUGCAGGGGACACAGAAAUGCUGCUGCCGAGAGAUGCAGAGAAGGAUGUGACAGCAUCACCAGCCUUAGAAGAAACAGCAGCAGCACCAGAGAUGGAAGGUCUGGAUGUGGCCAACCCUGAUGGAGCAGUGGUGGAAGCAUCAGAAAACCCAGAGGCAGAAGGACUUGCUGAAAUUAUCCAAGCAGCAGAACAAAUAGCAAAAUCUGAAGUGGCCAAGGUGCUGCAGUCAGCAAUAGCUGAGCUCAAGGAGAUGAGGAGGAGCGCGUGGUUAAAGCUAAAGAACAUCACCCAACAGGAGGAGGAGGAGGACUGGGAGAAGAAGAGAGAGAUGAUGUGAGGCAAAGGUUGGUUCAUA